rnacentral:lncRNA from 1 species
GAAUAGCUUGUGAAAUGACUGAAAUGAAUUGGUCUUCUGUUAAUGCAGGUGAACUUGAUGAAAAGAGAUAAAUAUUGAGGCCAAGCCUUACCUUGAGAUCUUAGCAGAAUGAAUUGGGGCUGCUCUUCGAUAUUUUUUUCGGUGAAAUGAAGUGAGAUUGAGAGCUGUUUGUUGGCUGGGGUUGAUACUAAUAAUUCAUUGGUGAAGACUUGAGUGUAGUGGUGGGGGAAAAAGAAAGAAAAACAUAAUGAUAGUGGUGUAUAGAAGUUGGGGAACAAAGUUUAAUGGAAAGAAAAAGAGAAGAAAAAGAAAGGAAAAAAAAUUGUAGAGGAGAAUUAUUGAUGUAUUUUCUCUGACUCGGUGAUUCUGUAACUGUAAAGUGAAUCACGU